rnacentral:misc_RNA from 1 species
GAGAGGAAGCCGCGUCCAGGAUCUCCUUUGGGCGUUGCUGAAUAGCAAAGCGUUUCUGUACAUCUAUUAACCGUUAACCGUUAACGGUAAACGGUAAACGGUAAACGGUGAACUAGAAGGGCGCACAUCAUGCUGAAUCUUCCCGGACGCCGCGGCUGCAACUGCGAGGGACCCACUCGACGCGAACUGCUCCGUAUCGGCUCCAUCGGCAUGAUGGGACUGAGCCUGCCGCAUUUCUUCUUCUGGCAGGACCAGGCCCAUGCCGCCGCCGCGGCGAACAAAUACGCCGGCGUCCGCGGCUGGGGUGCGGCCAAGAACGUUGUGAUGAUCUUCCUUCAGGGCGGCCCGUC